rnacentral:rRNA from 1 species
GAUGAACGCCGGCGGCGUGCCUAAUACAUGCAAGUCGAGCGAACGGACGAGAAGCUUGCUUCUCUGAUGUUAGCGGCGGACGGGUGAGUAACACGUGGAUAACCUACCUAUAAGACUGGGAUAACUUCGGGAAACCGGAGCUAAUACCGGAUAAUAUUUUGAACCGCAUGGUUCAAAAGUGAAAGACGGUCUUGCUGUCACUUAUAGAUGGAUCCGCGCUGCAUUAGCUAGUUGGUAAGGUAACGGCUUACCAAGGCAACGAUGCAUAGCCGACCUGAGAGGGUGAUCGGCCACACUGGAACUGAGACACGGUCCAGACUCCUACGGGAGGCAGCAGUAGGGAAUCUUCCGCAAUGGGCGAAAGCCUGACGGAGCAACGCCGCGUGAGUGAUGAAGGUCUUCGGAUCGUAAAACUCUGUUAUUAGGGAAGAACAUAUGUGUAAGUAACUGUGCACAUCUUGACGGUACCUAAUCAGAAAGCCACGGCUAACUACGUGCCAGCAGCCGCGGUAAUACGUAGGUGGCAAGCGUUAUCCGGAAUUAUUGGGCGUAAAGCGCGCGUAGGCGGUUUUUUAAGUCUGAUGUGAAAGCCCACGGCUCAACCGUGGAGGGUCAUUGGAAACUGGAAAACUUGAGUGCAGAAGAGGAAAGUGGAAUUCCAUGUGUAGCGGUGAAAUGCGCAGAGAUAUGGAGGAACACCAGUGGCGAAGGCGACUUUCUGGUCUGUAACUGACGCUGAUGUGCGAAAGCGUGGGGAUCAAACAGGAUUAGAUACCCUGGUAGUCCACGCCGUAAACGAUGAGUGCUAAGUGUUAGGGGGUUUCCGCCCCUUAGUGCUGCAGCUAACGCAUUAAGCACUCCGCCUGGGGAGUACGACCGCAAGGUUGAAACUCAAAGGAAUUGACGGGGACCCGCACAAGCGGUGGAGCAUGUGGUUUAAUUCGAAGCAACGCGAAGAACCUUACCAAAUCUUGACAUCCUUUGACAACUCUAGAGAUAGAGCUUUCCCCUUCGGGGGACAAAGUGACAGGUGGUGCAUGGUUGUCGUCAGCUCGUGUCGUGAGAUGUUGGGUUAAGUCCCGCAACGAGCGCAACCCUUAAGCUUAGUUGCCAUCAUUAAGUUGGGCACUCUAAGUUGACUGCCGGUGACAAACCGGAGGAAGGUGGGGAUGACGUCAAAUCAUCAUGCCCCUUAUGAUUUGGGCUACACACGUGCUACAAUGGACAAUACAAAAGGCAGCGAAACCGUGAGGUCAAGCAAAUCCCAUAAAGUUGUUCUCAGUUCGGAUUGUAGUCUGCAACUCGACUACAUGAAGCUGGAAUCGCUAGUAAUCGUAGAUCAGCAUGCUACGGUGAAUACGUUCCCGGGUCU